AAGUCGAACGCAUUGUCGUGAUUAUGAUUUGUUAAGCUUGCUUAACAUUGAUUAAUCACUAUACAAUGAAGUGGCGAACGGGUGAGUAACACGUGGGAAACCUACCUCUUAGCAGGGGAUAACAUUUGGAAACAGAUGCUAAUACCGUAUAACAAACAAAACCGCAUGGUUUUGUUUUUAAAAGAUGGUUCUGCUAUCACUAAGAGAUGGUCCCGCGGUGUAUUAGCUAGAUGGUGAGGUAACGGCUCACCAUGGCAAUGAUACAUAGCCGAGUUGAGAGACUGAUCGGCCACAUUGGAACUGAGACACGGUCCAAACUCCUACGGGAGGCAGCAGUAGGGAAGUCUUCCACAAUGGGCGCAAGCCUGAUGGAGCAACGCCGCGUGUGUGAUGAAGGGUUUCGGCUCGUAAAACACUGUUAUAAGAGAAGAAACGUCAGUGAGAGUAACUGUUCAUUGAGUGACGGUAUCUUAUCAGAAAGGGACGGCUAAAUACGUG
rnacentral:rRNA from 1 species